rnacentral:rRNA from 1 species
AUUGAACGCUGGCGGCAGGCCUAACACAUGCAAGUCGAGCGGAUGAAGGGAGCUUGCUCCUGGAUUCAGCGGCGGACGGGUGAGUAAUGCCUAGGAAUCUGCCUGGUAGUGGGGGAUAACGUCCGGAAACGGGCGCUAAUACCGCAUACGUCCUGAGGGAGAAAGUGGGGGAUCUUCGGACCUCACGCUAUCAGAUGAGCCUAGGUCGGAUUAGCUAGUUGGUGGGGUAAAGGCCUACCAAGGCGACGAUCCGUAACUGGUCUGAGAGGAUGAUCAGUCACACUGGAACUGAGACACGGUCCAUACUCCUGCGGGAGGCAGCAGUGGGGAAUGUUGGACAGUGGGCGAAAGCCUGAUCCAGCCAGGCCGCGUGUGUGAAGAAGGUCUUCGGAUUGUAAAGCACUUUAAGUUGGGAGGAAGGGCAGUAAGUUAAUACCUUGCUGUUUUGACGGUACCAACAGAAUAAGCACCGGCUAACUACGUG